rnacentral:lncRNA from 1 species
ACAAAAUCUGGGUGUGGGGUGUGUGCCUGUGAUUCCAAAACUGGGGUGGGGGAGGGUUGGGGGGGAGGGGGAGAAAGAAAAAAGAGAUACCCAGGGCUCUCUGAGAAGCUAGCAUAGAUGGGCAAGUUCCAGGCUAGACAGGGAUCCUAUCUCAAAAAUAAAAAAAAAGAUAGAUGUCACCUGAAAAAUGCUACCCUAGAUCGUCCUCUGACUGUUAUAGGCAUGCACACGUGUGCCCAUAUGUGUAUGUAUAUGUGUGUAUGUAUAUAUGUAUGUGUGUGUAUAUAUAUAUAUAUAUAUAUAUAUAUAUAUAUAUAUAUAUACACACAUACAUAUGACUGAUUUUGAGCUGUCUGCUCAGUGAGGCAAGAGAUCUUGUGGGGUGAGAACUACUCCUCUGACAGUGUGAACAAGGUUGCCUGUUGUAGUGAUGUGCAGGGCAACUGGAGACUCCACGCUGAACUGCAGAUUUGUUGGUUCCUGCUUAGUGUUCAGAGCACAUGGGUACAGAUGUUGGCGCAGCCCUCCAAAGCACAGGGGUUAUGACAGUCAGUGGCUACAUGCAGAGACGACAGAGUGAUAGAGGUGAGGACUGCACCAGUCCUGGGUGAGGCCACUAUCACUCCUCCCUGCAGGGUACACCGAGUGUAUUUCUUUCCUGUAAGAGGUUGAUUUGGGGUGAUGUUUUCAGUGUGAAGUGUUACUGGGGGCUUGUGUUAAUAAAUUAGUUAGCUAGCUAGUUAUUGGCUUUUGAGAUGGGAUUAUCUCUGUGUAGCCCUGAAUGUCCUGGAACUCACUCUGUAGACCAGGCUAUCCUUGAACUCAGAGAUCUGCCUGACUUUGCUGGGAUCAAGUACUUAAACUCAUGGUCUCCAGCUGUUGGUGAUGUCUUGAGAGGCUAUAGAACCUUUAAUUGAUAGAGGCUCAUCAGUGGAAGGCAGGAAUUGGGGCAGGCUUUGAGGCUGACUGUCAGGCCUGCUUCCUGUCUCCCCUGUCUCCUGAUCUGCUACAUGGCAAUCUGGUAUCUGCUGCUGUGUGUUUCCACCACUACAGAACUACCUGCCACUAUGUCUUCCUCACCAUGAAGGCUAUCUCCCCUCAAGCUGUGAGCCCAAGAAACCUCUCACAGAGAUGAGGAAAUAUAGGCUGGCUCACCUGAUGCUUCACACUUCACACUUCACACCCAGCAGGGAGUUUUGCCUUGGGGUGUCAACUGCAGGGAGAGUCACAUGCUUGGGCAAACCAAGCCUGUAAAUUUGCAAGAUUACUUAUCUAGCCUAAGGCGCUAUUGGCCAGAGGUAGCCCCCGUGAGGUCAGACAGCUUACUUACAGAAACUGACUGGAUGGUGAAGGGUUAAAUGGGGUGAUGACGCUAUCUGUACUACUGUGCCCAACACUGCUCUUUUGAAAGAACAACAAACACACAAGGGAGGAAUCUUUUCAGGAUGUAUUGGACCCUGCUAACAUUUUGUAAGUAUCCUCUUAGCUGAUGAAUUCCAAGGCCAAAUUCACACUUCCUUAGAACAAGACAGCCAGGGACCUUCAGAGAGCCUGCUCAGUCUGAGAGAAAAGAUUUCACUAUCCAGUGCUAGACUCUAAGUGUCUUAGAGAUCUGGAGAGGCAUUUGAGAAGAACAGCCGUUAAAGGGUUUCAAAACAGAAGCACUCUGCCUGGAUUUAGGGGACACCCAGACGCCGUAGGGUUAUGGAAUGAAUAUCCCUGUGACAGGUGCAGGUUACUGAACUAUAGUUAUCAACAAGGGAGGCUUCUGGGUCCGCCCACUCCUACACAGAUCACAGGCUAUUGCCACCGCUGCUGUUUGCAUGCCAGAGCUAGACUGUAAGUCUCUAUGGCUGGAAACCUUGCGCCCUCUGGUUGAAGGUUCUGGAUAAAUCCAUCUGACACUGAAAUGGAAGGUUCCUCACUGGUGGCUGGCUUUCAUAGUGCUGUAAGGUACUUAGCCAAUUACUGAGUGAAACAACCAUCCUGCUCAGCUGUGGACUGGCUCCACAUACUAAUGCCACCCACAAGCCAGGCAAGACGUGCGUGGCCCCAGGAGCAACAGCGGCACAACUGUCUGGGCACAAACAACUACCUUCCAGUUGGAUUUAAGAUCCACGCCAGAGAGAGAAUCCAGGAUUGAGACUUUAAGCCAAAACAAAAACGUGUGGCUGAGGAAAGUCAUAGACUCAAUGGGGAAGUUACUACUAUUGUUUAGUUAAUGAAAUGUGUUGUGCCUGUGGUCUUCUAAACAUUUAUAUUCCUGGCCAUAAAUUAUCACUGCUGCUGGCCUUGGUCAGGGUAGCAGUUAUUGCAAAAUGUCGUAACUAGUCGCAUUGCCUAGAAAAAGUGACUGCUGUUACUGUGGUAGAGUGGGUCAAUGUUUAGCCUUCAAUGGAAGAAAAUAAUUAUAUACCUUAUCACCUCUCUAGGGCCCAAGGAACAUGCGCAUUGUAGGCAUGGAAAGAAUGUAGGAGCAAGAUGUAAUGGCAUUGUGAUGCUUUACCCAGUGAGUUGGAUGUCCUCACUGCCAUCUUGAAUCAAAGCAACCGAGAAGUCUCAUGACAGCAAGCCAGAAACAUCCUGGUGGCCGGGCAUGCCAGAGGAAAUGUACUCACUUCAAAGAAGGCAGGAAGCAGACAGAGUUGAGAAACUGCCAAGGGACAAACAAACAAAGAUUGCCAUAGAGAGCUUUGUCUUCAACAGACCCCACCUAUUAAAAGUCCAUUUGAACAGCUAGUAAUUUAAUCAAUGGACUAACUUAUGAGCCAAUCAUCUCUUUAAAAAACUGUAUGUAUGGUGUUAUAUGCCCUGGAACUGGAGUUACAGACAAUUGUGAGCCAUCAGGUGGAUGCUAGGAAUUGAACCUGGAUCCUCUGGAAGAGCAACAAGUACUCUUAACUGCUGAGCCAUCUCUCUAGCCUUCCAACCAACAUUUAAAAGACCCGGUAGAUACAAGCAACCCUCUAACACACAAACCUCUGGGAGAUACUUAUCUAUCCUACCCAUAAAAGUUUGCAGUAAUAAUCACACAUAACACUAGAAAUACCACACAAACACAACUUUGUGCAGACAAGAAACUCAUGCUCACGCUAAAGAAGAUGCUAGUGUGUGGGAUGAGUUACAGCUGAAAACAAAGGCUACUUUCAGCACGUUGCUGUAGUAGCACAGCAUCUGAGGUAGCUCAGCAUCGCUUCCUCCUAACCUGACAGUGUUGCUGUCACAUCCUAGGAGGUGAGAAUUUGCACAUCAAGCUGUUUCUGAGUCACCCACAUGAAGAGUUUAUAAACCUGUAUGAUACGCUCCCUUUUGGGAAAUUUUCAUAAACACAAAACACAGUGUUGAUUUUGGACUCUUCAGAUGUAGCAUGGUUCUCAGGUAUGUGGUACUGUUCAGACCCCAUCCAACACCCACACUACUUUAUUCACAGCCUCUCUCUCUCUCUCUCUCUCUCUCUCUCUCUCUCUCUCUCUCUCUCUCUCUCACACACACACACACACACACACACACACACACACACACACACACACACACACACACGCCCACUUUCUUAUUUUCCUGAGAGAAGGUCUCAUGCAUCCCGUGCCGGUCUUGAACAUGUUAUAUAGCCAAGGAUGACCUUGGAAUUCUGAUCGUCCUGCCUCCAUUUUCCAGUUCUGGGAUUACAGGGAUUCACAACUAGACCUGGUUUUAUACAACACUGAGGUUCAAACUCAGGGACCCAGGCAUGCUAGGCAAGUGCUUUAGGACCUGAGCCACAGCCCAGCUCUGUUGUGAGCCCUUCUCUAGUCCCUCUUUCACCUUCACUUACAGGUGAUGUGCUUGGGCAAGGAAAAAGAGGAAGAGAGAGAGGAGAGUGUGCAAGGGACAGCCAAGGGCGGGGGUGUAGGCCCUGCAGCUCUCUCAUAUACUGCCAGGGCCCCACAGAUGUACGCCACCAUACAAACCCUCAGUUGAAACUAUGUUACAGUAAAGCUUCAUCCUAAAGCAACACACAACUUCCCUUUAGACUCUUUAUUUAAAAUCAUGCCUGCCAUUUGUAUGGGAGUUAAGACCAAACUGCCACACAAUAUCCCUCCAUCUCUUAUGCUGGAAGCAUUUUGUGCCUGAGGCCUAGUCCCAAAGAUAGCAAAUCCUAAAUGAUAAAUGGUAAACCAAGAUUUAAACCUUUUUUGUUUGUUUUUUGUUUGUUUGUUUUUUGGUUUUUCGAGACAGGGUUUCUCUGUAUAGCCCUG